AAGACUGACAAAAGGUUCUGACUGACAUAACUAUAAACUUAGAGUCUCUCAUCUAUGGAGAGUUCACUGGGAAUAUUUGUACAGACUGUUUUGACUAGCAAGAUAAUGCUGUCCUCCAUACCAAGCUAAAGUAUCAGCACUGUUAUGAACUCAUGAUCUGAAAGCCUCCAUAAGAUCUCAGAGAAUGAAACCAAUCACCUAACAGAAGUGUUUUAUUUUCAUCAAUAUUUGUAAAAUUAUAUGCACACAGAAGAGUUCCCAAAUCUGUAUAUAAGUAC
rnacentral:lncRNA from 1 species